CACAUGCUCUCUAGGUUAUCACACAGAACUCCAAGAUGACAAAUAAAUCUAUCACCUUUAGAAGGAUUGGUUACUUCAGUACUGCUUUGAUAAGUUAUCUCUGAACAUCAAAAGGAAAAGAAAAUAUAUAACACCCCUGCCUCCUGUGACAUCUGAAGAUCCAAUCAUCAGGUUUAUUCGGCAUAGGCCAUAGCAGUUUCCAUAUUCCGUUUUCUAUGUUCUGGACGGAAAUUGGGUUCCUGGAGAUAACAAUGCUACUUUCAUUAUGUUCUGUUUUCUGUUGCAAGCUCACAACCGAUACUGAUGAUGUGAAUUUUGAUAUGGUCAAAAAUACAGCAGUGGUUAUUAUUUUGGUAGACCAUUGACCAUAUGCUCUGCCAUCACUGUGGCCUUAAUGAACAACACAGCUAAUAUGCUCAUGAAUUUGUAGAUAUGUGCAAUUCUAUGGACAGGGCUGCAUUUUAUGAAUUUGGUGUGUAUAGUGCCACAAUAUGAAACCAUAAGUUGAAUUGAAACAUUGACACUGUUGGGAAUUGAAAAAUAAUAAUGAGAUGAGGUAAUAACAGGGGAAACAACAAGCGACUAUGGUCCCGAGUGGAGAAUAAAUUACAGAGGCAUUAGUAUUCGGAAACAGCCAAACAUGGUUAGAGUGAUCCGAAUAUAUCGAAAUUAUUUGGUUACAAUACACAAGAGAGGAUUUAGUGCAGAGAAUUGCAGAUCAAUUGUUGUCAGCCUAUCUUCCACGUGCCAUGUCACAUAUGAAAUAAUCUACAGUUUGUAUCCCAUCAGAGAACUACAGAGAAAUAAUAUUCAGCUUCAACUAUUAUUAUCUUGGAUAAAUAAUAUAUUGUUUAUUUUAGCUUGCAUGCAAGCUUAGAGCCUGAAUAAUAGUCCCCUCAAAAUGACUUUAUUACCAGUCUGUUGGUUUGGGGUACUUGUGGUUCAGACUGUCAAGGCUUAGGCAUGCAGAUUUAACUGCUCUCUUCAAUCUACUAUGUUUUUCUCCUAGGAGCAAUUAUCAUUUCGGCAUUAGGUUUAAAUACUCCUUUCAGUGCAGCGAAUAGAAAUUCCAGUGACAAAUAUAUGUGCUCUUUUGGAUUACCAUCACUGUUAUUUCUUCUGGUCUUCAUGUUGAUGUAUAUCUGAAUGAAACAUAUCAGAAAUACAUAUCGACCAUAUGGCAAUCCAUGUGUGAUGACUGAUACGAGGUGAAAAUAUAACAAGAAAUCUAAGGUAACAAAUAUUAAUCAGUGUGGAAACUGCAGUAUAUACUAUAUACCAAUAUACUAUGAUGCAUUUUCUUUAUACUAGCCUUAUGGUUCGAGGUGCCAUUUCUGUAACUUUGUUUCAAAGUAACUUUUUUCCAUUUGAAGUGUUAGCCUUGCAUUGCUUUCUCUUUAGAAAACUGGAAGUUUCGGGAUUAUAUCAAUUGAUGGUCUCUUAGCUGGAUACUUGCAAAAUGAAAUGCUUUCAGCAAAUUAAAUUAUUUUGAGGAAAAACUGAACUCAGAUUAAAGUCAUCAUCUAUUGCAGGGUGCUAUGGUACAGAUAACCAUACCCCCAAAAGUUGAAAAACAAUUUCGUCCACUGCUCUCUCUAGGUUCUGUCUACAUGUUGACAGAUGUUAGCGCUGUUCAUGCUACAUACAAGAAGUUCAUUUACCACCACCAAAGCUACAUGCUUCAGUUUAAAACAAGCUCAAAGGUCCAUCUAAUGCAAUCACGAGGAGUAAGUAUUCCUCAAUUUGCCUUUGAUUUCUCCUAGUUUGAUCAGCUUCCGUCAAAAGACAAUCAAUCCAAACCCCUUUUAGAUUUGAUUGGAUUCAUUAGCUACGUUGGUCCAUAUGACUACGCUAGCCCAGCGUCUCAGUACAAGCUCAGGAACAUCCAUAUCCGUAACCAAGAUGAACAAACACAGGAAAUAAACCUUUGGGGCGAGGAUGGUGAAACAUUUGACGAAAGUGCGGUCCUCAGCAAAUCAGAUGGGAAGAUUGUUGUUUGUGUUUUUGCUGGCCUGACCGUUGGAAAGUAUUUAGGCAAGUUCUCAGGAAAUUAUGAUUUCUAUUGCAUUAUAACUUUAUUAGUUAACCCGAGGCAUCUCAUGGAAUUAUUACUUUAGCACAAUUCUUUUGUUCUGUAGCUGUUUGAGUAUUACAGUAUUUAUCACAUUCUUGCACUAAUCAUGGGCAGAUGUAUUGUUUAAUAUCCGCGGCAAUGCUCGGGGUAACCACUAGUUUGUUUCAAUGUUGUACAACAAGGGGCUGUGAUCUUUUAUUGGGUUCAAACUUAUUCUGGUUGUUCAGAUUUGAUA